CGCUCUCCAUCCGCUGCGUUCUCUGCUACAAACAACGACUUGCUCCUGUUCUCCCAACAGUCGAGUUCUCGUUUUCUUCAUUGCAGAUGAGAAAUUCGGAGUAAUCUUCAACCUUGGACCUCUGUCUUCGAGUCACUGUGUGAUUUUCGAGGCACAUGGUACUGCCCGCGAGGGCCCGGCACGAUUGUUCCCGUGCUCGCAAUUUGGCAUCAGAAAUGUACAGGGCCUCGAGACCGGCACCCACGCGGUGUUUGUGUCUUGAGGGAUUCCCUUUGGAAGAGCCGUUGCGGAGAUUGUCUGGGGGUCACCGAGGGUGUCCUUCCUUACUUUAGUGCAAUCGCAGCGGAAACCUAUCAUUCCUCUCCUGGGGAUUGAUAGGGUUUCAAUUCGAUUCCGAUUACUCUGGAGAGCG
rnacentral:RNase_P_RNA from 1 species